UGCUUAGCUUUAAUAUGUCACUGACUACUACCAAUAUGCUAUUGUGAGAAUUAUUAUUGAGAGAUCUCUUACUAACAGUGUUAAUAUCGAAGUCAUUCUAAGGGGUAGGUCUGACAAAGCAAAUGAGUGAGUGAGUCUUUGACAUGAAGACAGUGGUUAGAUUCUGCCAUUGGGACUGCUCUGAUGUUGUUUCCAUUCUCUCCUGGUUAUGACCAUAGAGCCUUGUCCCAGUCUCUAGACCUGCCUGUCUGUGUGAUGGAUGACCACCUGACCUCUGAAGCUGUCAAUGAGAUGGUAAGUUGACCUUGUCAUUUCAUAGUACAACAUUAAUCCAAUAAAAUGUUAUAGUGAUGCUAUCAUUGGCAAUGUUGACGUACCACAACCAUCUCUGUUGUGUUGCAGUUGUUUAAUUGGCCCAACGUUGCCAAUGCUCCUCCACUCUUUAACAGUUAAUAAUAAUUUCAGUAUGAUAUUUGUUGUAUAUUAAGUUGUAUUAUUUGCAAUAUAAUUACAUUUCUACCAGGAGCAGAGCAAGUCUACCAGGAGUAGAGCAACCUCAGUGAUGGAAACUACAGAAGAGGGGAAGCUCAACAAUGUGGAACAUCUGACACUUAUGGACUUCCUUCAAAACCUAACUGAGAAGCAAUGGAGGGGGAUUCGUGAGGGCAUGUUUGACCCGGUAAGAUCAUGUUACUGACAAUUUAAUUAGAUUACCAUGAAAACUCUGCCUAAUGUUUAACCUUGUUCAUAAGCUUUUGAAAGACGCACUAUGCAACAUUUUAAAACACUUCUUCUGUUUCUGGAAUACAGCUGACAAAACAACAGCUUGCCGGCUUGUGUCUGAGGAUUGUCC
rnacentral:lncRNA from 1 species